AUUGAACGCUGGCGGCAGGCAUAACACAUGCAAGUCGAGCGAGCGGCGUAAGGGUUAGUAAUGAAUGGGGCUAUGCCCGGGAGAGGGGGAUAACUACUGGAAACGGUUGCCAAUACCGCAUACUUGCGGAUGAACCCAUAUGGGAUUAGCUAGUAGGUGGGGUAAAGGCUCACCUAGGCGACGAUCUGUAGCUGGUCUGAGAGGAUGAUCAGCCACACUGGGACUGAGACACGUCCCAGACUCCUACGGGAGGCAGCAGUGGGGAAUAUUGCACAAUGGGCGCAAGCCUGAUGCAGCCAUGCCGCGUGUAGGAAGAAGGCCUUAGGGUUGUAAAGUACUUUCAGCGGGGAGGCGUUACCCGCAGAAGAAGCACCGGCUAACUCCGUGCCAGCAGCCGCGGUAAUAC
rnacentral:rRNA from 1 species